rnacentral:rRNA from 2 species
ACGACUCUCGGCAACGGAUAUCUCGGCUCUCGCAUCGAUGAAGAACGUANCGAAAUGCGAUACUUGGUGUGAAUUGCAGAAUCCCGUGAACCAUCGAGUCUUUGAACGCAAGUUGCGCCCGAAGCCGUCAGGCCAAGGGCACGUCUGCCUGGGUGUCACGCA